rnacentral:rRNA from 1 species
UACGUAGGGGGCAAGCGUUGUCCGGAAUCAUUGGGCGUAAAGCGCGCGUAGGCGGCCCGGUAAGUCCGUUGUGAAAGUCAAAGGCUCAACCUUUGAACGCCGAUGGAUACUGCCGGGCUAGAGUCCGGAAGAGGCGAGUGGAAUUCCUGGUGUAGCGGUGGAAUGCGCAGAUAUCAGGAGGAACACCAAUAGCGAAGGCGGCUCACUGGCCCGAUACUGACGCUGAGGCACGAAAGCGUGGGGAGCAAACAGG